rnacentral:rRNA from 1 species
UACGAAGGGUGCAAGCGUUACUCGGAAUUACUGGGCGUAAAGCGCGCGUAGGUGGUUUCUUAAGUCUGCUGUGAAAGCCCCGGGCUCAACCUGGGAAUGGCAGUGGAUACUGGGAAGCUGGAGUGUGGUAGAGGGUAGUGGAAUUCCCGGUGUAGCGGUGAAAUGCGUAGAGAUCGGGAGGAACACCAGUGGCGAAGGCGGCUACCUGGACCAGCACUGACACUGAGGCACGAAAGCAUGGGGAGCAAAC